ACUACGGGAGGCAGCAGUGAGGAAUAUUGGUCAAUGGGCGCGAGCCUGAACCAGCCAAGUCGCGUGAGGGAGGACGGCCCUACGGGUUGUAAACCUCUUUUGCCGGGGAGCAACGGGCGUCACGUGUGGCGCCACUGAGAGUACCCGGAGAAAAAGCAUCGGCUAACUCCGUGCCAGCCGCCGCGGUAAUACGGAGGAUGCGAGCGUUAUCCGGAUUUAUUGGGUUUAAAGGGUGCGUAGGCGGAUCGUUAAGUCAGUGGUCAAAUUGAGGGGCUCAACCCCUUCCCGCCAUUGAAACUGGCGCUCUUGAGUGGAAGAGAAGGAUGCGGAAGGCGUGGUGUAGCGGUGAAAUGCAUAGAUAUCACGCAGAACCCCGAUUGCGAAGGCAGCAUGCCGGCUUCCGACUGACGCUGAAGCACGAAAGCGUGGGGAUCGAACAGGAUUAGAUACCCCAGUAGUC
rnacentral:rRNA from 1 species